CUCAGCCUUGGACUUCUGACAAUAUAAAGGAUUAAGGAAACAGCACAAAGUUAUCAUGUACAUCGAACUUGGAAAAUGACCGAUGAUGUCUGUUAUGUAACUUUAUAAUGUUAGCUGAUAUUAUGAAUACAGAGAUCAUGACAAGAACAGAUAUCUUCCAGUUAAGUCAUUAUUGCAAUUCAAAACAUAUCAAAUAUUAACUUAAAGUUUUUCUUUAUAUUUUAUUUCAACAUGUGGGGUAAACAAGUAAAUUGUUUUCAAAUGCUCAAUGCAUUGAUAAACUUUGAAUGCAUGACACAUGAUUGCCAAAAAAUACAACCUAAAAAUAUUACCUGCUAUAUUUACUAAUGUGCUAAUGUACACACUAUGUGUUCUUUUUUGAUAUGUCUUAAAGUGGCGAAUUUCUUUCAGUCAAAACAGACAUUAUUUUGUCCAAACGACAACAGAAAUAUAUUUUCUUCACAGCUACGUAUAAUGUCAUGCAAUACAUGAAUAGCCUAUAUUAGAACAUGUUUUCAACGUUACAACCAAAUAUACAGUCAGAAUAAAUAUAUCAUUUAUAAUAAUUUCUAGACCAAAACUAACUAGAAAUAUAUUGACCUGCAAUCUUCGUAAGGUGACUGCAGUAAUCUCUGAAUGCCGUAUGAUUGGCUAACAAUGCGCAUGCGUGAUGAUCCAUGUUGUCAAACGUCUUUUCCACAGAUUGAGCACUGAGCAGGCGGGAGCGUCGAGAACUGAGGAGGACUUGUUAACAAUCAUUUACUGCUGUGCUGAAACACAUUUGUCAUGUGGAUUAAAGUCUAUGGUUUACUUUAAUAGUGUUUAUUUUGGUAAAUCAUGCGAGCAGCAUUUUUUUUUUUUUUUUUGCAUCACGGAAGACAAGAAAGUGAUUCGGGGUAACGGCGACAUUUCAAAUUUAACCUGGUUUUAAGUGGAAGAAAGGAAUGCUUGCUAAGCACAAUGGGAUCUCUCUGAUGAACUUUCAAGUGUUGCAGAGGAACGUAAGGAGAUCAGGCAGGCCAAAAUGUCAUUCUCAAGGUUUUCCCUGACAGCCAAGAAGCUCGGACCCCUCUUAAACCUGAGAGAAAAGAAGCGCACCUGUUUGGCUGCCCAGGGGCUGAACGGAGGAUGACUGUAUAUCAGCAGCCGGGGAUGCAGUCGUAUCCCCGCUGAAGGCUGGAGGCUGUCUAUUCCUUCAGACAGACAGCGGUAAAUAAGGUCUAAGUCUCAUUAUCCCAGCACCAGGACUCGACAGCUGCAUUCAUCCAAAAUGCAUUUCUACCUAAAGGUUAAGAGUAGUUAUGAGGACAGUAAUGUAUUAUUAAAAUACCUUUCGGACUGAAGUACCUUUUGAUAUAUUUUCCCAGGUAAUGAAAGCAGCGUUCGGAGGGGGGAAAUGUAGUAAUUUGCUGUCCCAUUUUGUCAGCUGCUUUAUUCUGUCUCUCUCUCUCUUCCUCUCCUUCUCCAUCUUUACCUGCCUGUCAUCUCAGGGGUGAAGGGGGGAUAGUAAACCGGCCUGUGAAAGGCAAAAACGUAUCUUACAUUACCAAGCUUUCAUUUAUGAGAAAAAACUGCAAAGCAUUCAGAGCACGAGGAUGUCUUUCAAUUUCUCUCUCUCUCUCUCUCUCUGAUGUUGCUAGGGCAGUGAUUGGGUGAGGAAAAUCGCUGUUUGGUAUCUGAUCCUGGCAUGAUAAGGGGUGGCAGAAGGUUUUCAGGUAUUCAACGGGGAACGGCGGAAAGAUGGUUUAUGUCUCAGCUCUUUUAUCCAGGAGAAAAAAAGAGAAGAAUAGCAGGAGAGAUGCAGAGAUUUUCGUUGUGAGGGAAGAGAGACGCUUUAGAGUAGUCGGUACUCAGAGCUCUAUUAAAAGCAUCAGCCUUGUUAAAACCAGUCAAAAGACAGGAAAUCAGGCAGUGAAAUGAAGCCUUUCCACCAAUUAUGGGAUCUGAGUGGAACAUCUUAGUGCUUUUUGUGUCUAGCAUCACCGCUCUCUCUUUUACUCUCUCUCUCUCUCUGUGUGUGUGUCCUGUAGGUGUGGAUGUGCUACCUCCUGUUAACUCUUUUCAGAUGAUCCCAUAAAGGUUUAAAAUAUUUGUUUAUAAACAUACUGAAUCUGCAUAAUUAUUCAAAGAUACAGGAUUAUUUAAUUGUUGUUUAGAAUUUUUAGCUAUGUACCCAAAGUAAGACUAUAUGUGUCCACGAAGGCCUACAUUUGGACACUUUCUACACCAUCAAGCUCAUUCUUACAACACUUUAAAAAAAAAUCUGAGUUUUGGUUCUACAGAACAAAGACACGAGGGUAA